AUACAUACGCAUAAGAAAUCAUGUGUUAAUGUUAACUGCUCCCAAAAUAUGUUUUACAGAUCAGAAAGCUCAAGAUUCAACAAGGUAUAGCGUUUCCUAUUUGACUGAAACCAAAGCGCUGAAAACAGCAACAACUAACUGUACUUCAAUGUAAGAGUUGCCUUCUUAGCCCACAAUACAAAUCUCAGCUUAAGCUAUAGAGGAUUAUAAUGAGAGCUAUAUGGUUUUGUAUUGUUUCUAUAGCCGAAGAAGAAAUAUUACAUCUCAAUGUCUUCGAGGUCUGGUAAAGGGAACCUGAGAAGAGCUGCAAUCCCAGUGAGUUGUGCCAACUCUGCAAGUUCAUCAACACUGUAUAAGAGUCUGGCACAGUAAAGAAGAAGAGAUAAAGAAGGAAACACUCACGUUCCCCUGAUACAUGCAUCGACGAGAAUAUAAAAGCCUCUCCUCCUGAAUCUUUCACCGACUCCACCAAAUCCACAUACUUCUUCCUUGUUUUCACGUCAGAGUUCCUGCACAAAAAGUUUAUAACGUCAAUCACAUUUGCCUUUUGAAAUUAGGAAUUUCGAAUUAGGAUUAGUGCUCCUUUCCAUCACUAAACCUGAAAAGCUCAUCAGUGAUGAGAAGUGUUUGGACUGCCAUUCGCUCAUGUGCAACUUCUACAUGUUUUGGUCCAUAGCAUGCUCGAGCUGGGUCCUGGAUUAAAUAAAGCAAACGAAUCUCAAGACGCAUUGAAAAUAAUCUUAAAACGGAUGAGAAUCUCUUUCUCUUCAUUGCAAAAGAAGACACUAUUUAAAAAUCAAAUUUGUGAUUUAGAAUCCAUACAAAUUUUAACGUAUUUAAAAAAUUUGUGUGAUAUAAAAUAUGCUGAUUUGCUUCUUCUUUGUCGUCAGCGACAAUCAAAACUCAAGUAUUCCUUUUGAUCACCGCUUAAGAAAGUUAACAUCUUCUUCUUCCACUGUAUCAUUCAUUGGAGUAAGUAUUACUCUUUCGAUGAGAUAAGAAUAAUCGUAAAUAAAGGUAAUAAAUUGACAUUGACAUUAACUACAACAGCUUAAUCAAUGUUAUAUUGUCGAUAAGAACAAACACAUCAUGAACAUCAUAGGCACACUAUAACUUACACAUAGGCAUAAUAGUCACAUUAACUUUUCCAUUAACUUACUUACAACAACAUAACAUCUAUAUGUACAAACGCCUAAAUAUAACUACGGUUUUUUCAAAAAAGGGAAUUAUAACUGUGGCAAUAACUAACAUACGACACCAUGACAAUCAUGACAAAAAAAAUCAACACCAAUUUAAGAAAAAAAGAACUUACGAAGAUCAAGAAAUCUAGUUAUUUCUUCAAAAAUGUGACACCUAAGAAAAACAUGCAGAAAAAACUCACCUAAUAUGAGAAUAAACCGAAUAUGAGAGAGUUAAAUCCUAUAUAUAGAUGUGAAUAAUUGUAGUUCCUUUGGUUUAUGGGUUUUAAACAGAAAAUUAACUAUUUAGAUAGGAAAAUUGAUUAUUUGAAUAAUUAUUCUAGAUUUUUUUUUUUUUGGAUUUGAAGAAAGGAAAACAACUUUUAACACUCUUUUACAAUUUUCCUAUGUUUAAGAUUUUAUAAAAGAACAAUUACUAUCAAAUAAUGUUUUACAUUUAUCUUUUAUUUAUGAUUUUACAAAAGGAAAAUAAGUAUUUGAUAAAUUGUUUUAAAAAUAUUUAGAAUUUUGAAAAAGAAUAAUGUCUAGAAAAAAUUACUUUAAAUAAUUUUUAAAAUUACUUCUUUAAAAAAAAAUGAUUUUAUUAUCUUAUCUUAUAUUUUUUAUUAAUCAUGAGAUAUUUUUAAAAAUGUCAAAAUUUUCAAAGGAAAUUACUAUCAAAUAAUAAUUUAUAAUUAUGUUUUCUUUAUGAUUUAAAAAAAUGGAAAAUUAGUAUUAAAUAUAUUAUUUUAAUAUAAGUUUUUGUAUAGGAGUUUUAAAAGGAAAUUUUCUAGAAUAAUACUAUUAAAUAAUUUAAAAUUACCUUUUUACUAUUAAAUAACUAUUUUAAAGUUCGUUUUUUAUCAUCUUAGUAUAAUUUUCUAAAAUGGAAAUUUACUAUUAAAUAGUAUUUAUAAUUACUUUUAAUAAUAAGUUUUUGUGUAUGAGUUUUAAAAGGUUUUUUUAGAAUAAUACUAUUAAAUAAUUUUAAAAUCACCUUUUUACUAUUAAAUAUAUAUUUUUAAAGUUUGUGUUUAUUAUGUUAGUAUAUAUUUUUAAAAUGGAAAUUUACUAUUAAAUAGUAUUUAUAAUUACAUUUAAUUACGAAAGAGUUUGACACAUGUCACAAUCUUAAAUAUAUAUUUGUCAUGUGUCACAAUCAUAUUAAUUAGUAAUUUUGAAAAUCAAACUUUAUAUAAUAAGAUUUGGCUAUAGUUUCUUAAAAUGUUAUAUGAAAAUAAAUAUUUAACAAAUUAAUUGGAUGUAAAAAUUUAGAUAAACAACUUAAUAUUUAAGUUGAUGAAAAAACAACUUAAUAUUUGUAUUUACACCAAAAAAACAAUAUUUAUCUUAUAUAAAAAUAUAUGUUUACUUUGCAACUUUGUCGAUAUGAAAUUGAUCUGUUAUAUUUUAUAAAUGAAACUGGUCGAAUUCUGCGGUUUAAAUUAUUUUAAAAUUUACUAUUAGUUUGUUGAAACUUAGUUCAUUUGUAUGUGCGAGUGCUCGUGAGUAAUUAUAUGAACUUUCAUGGCAUUCAUACUAACAGCAAGUAACGUGACUGGUAGAUAGAAGAUCUUGGUCUAAUGGUCUUGUAUCAAAUGUAAAAACAUAACUAGCGUUUAUAUGAACAUUUGUAAAUUUCAAAAUGGACAUACAUACGCAUAAGAAAUCAUGUGUUAAUGUUAACUGCUCCCAAAAUAUGUUUUACAGAUCAGAAAGCUCAAGAUUCAACAAGGUAUAGCGUUUCCUAUUUGACUGAAACCAAAGCGCUGAAAACAGCAACAACUAACUGUACUUCAAUGUAAGAGUUGCCUUCUUAGCCCACAAUACAAAUCUCAGCUUAAGCUAUAGAGGAU
rnacentral:lncRNA from 1 species